CCCUUAGAUGUUCUGGGCUGCACGCGCGCUACACUGAUGCGUUCAACGAGUGUAUCACCUUGCCCGAUAGGGUUGGGUAAUCUUUUGAACACGCAUCGUGAUGGGGAUAGAUUAUUGCAAUUAUUAAUCUUCAACGAGGAAUUCCUAGUAAUGAUGAAUCAUCAGUUCAUCGUGAUUACGUCCCUGCCCUUUGUACACACCGCCCGUCGCUCCUACUGAUUGAGUGUCUCGGUGAAUUCUUUGAUUCUCUGUCGAUUCAGUUCACUGAUCCGACGGUGGAAAGUUGAAUGAACUUCGUCACUUAGAGGAAGGAGAAGUCGUAACA
rnacentral:rRNA from 1 species